rnacentral:rRNA from 1 species
CCUACGGGAGGCAGCAGUGAGGAAUAUUGGUCAAUGGACGCGAGUCUGAACCAGCCAAGCAGCGUGCAUGAUGACUGCUCUAUGGGUUGUAAACUUCUUUUAUAAAGGAAUAAAACGAGGCACGUGUGCCUUUUUGCAUGUAUUUUACGAAUAAGGAUCGGCUAACUCCGUGCCAGCAGCCGCGGUAAUACGGAGGAUUCGAGCGUUAUCCGGAUUUAUUGGGUUUAAAGGGAGCGUAGAUGGGUUGUUAAGUCAGUUGUGAAAGUUUGCGGCUCAACCGUAGAAUUGCAUUUGAUACUGGCAGUCUUGAGUACAGUUGAGGUAGGCGGAAUUCAUGGUGUAGCGGUGAAAUGCAUAGAUAUCACGAAGAACCCCGAUUGCGAAGGCAGCUUACUAAACUGUGACUGACGUUGAGGCACGAAAGUGUGGGGAUCAAACAGGAUUAGAUACCCGAGUAGUC